rnacentral:rRNA from 1 species
GGAUCAAUAAUGCUGGUCGUGCCAUUGGUACGUACUAGUAUUGUUGGUUUCUUCCUUCUGAUGAAUCAUGAUGUCAUUAAUUUGAUGUCAUGGGGAAUCAGGACUGUUACUUUGAAAAAAUUAGAGUGUUUAAAGCAGGCUCGCGCUUGAAUACAUUAGCAUGGAAUAAUGAAAUAGGACGUUUGAUUCUAUUUUGUUGGUUUCUAGGAUUGACGUA